rnacentral:pre_miRNA from 1 species
AGACGGACAUUGGAUAAAUUCUACCCGGUGAGGUACCUUUUGCAACCACACCGGACGAGAUUUCAUCCGACAACAG